rnacentral:rRNA from 1 species
GUGGGUAACCUGCCUUGUACUGGGGGACAACAGUUGGAAACGACUGCUAAUACCGCAUAAGCGCACAGCUUCGCAUGAAGCAGUGUGAAAAACUCCGGUGGUACAAGAUGGACCCGCGUCUGAUUAGCUGGUUGGUGAGGUAACGGCCCACCAAGGCGACGAUCAGUAGCCGGCCUGAGAGGGUGAACGGCCACAUUGGGACUGAGACACGGCCCAAACUCCUACGGGAGGCAGCAGUGGGGAAUAUUGCACAAUGGGGGAAACCCUGAUGCAGCAACGCCGCGUGAGUGAAGAAGUAUUUCGGUAUGUAAAGCUCUAUCAGCAGGAAAGAAAAUGACGGUACCUGACUAAGAAGCCCCGGCUAACUACGUGCCAGCAGCCGCGGUAAUACGUAGGGGGCAAGCGUUAUCCGGAUUUACUGGGUGUAAAGGGAGCGUAGACGGUUUUGCAAGUCUGAAGUGAAAGCCCGGGGCUUAACCCCGGGACUGCUUUGGAAACUGUAGGACUAGAGUGCAGGAGAGGUAAGUGGAAUUCCUAGUGUAGCGGUGAAAUGCGUAGAUAUUAGGAGGAACACCAGUGGCGAAGGCGGCUUACUGGACUGUAACUGACGUUGAGGCUCGAAAGCGUGGGGAGCAAACAGGAUUAGAUACCCUGGUAGUCCACGCCGUAAACGAUGAUUACUAGGUGUUGGUGGGUAUGACCCAUCGGUGCCGCAGCAAACGCAAUAAGUAAUCCACCUGGGGAGUACGUUCGCAAGAAUGAAACUCAAAGGAAUUGACGGGGA